rnacentral:rRNA from 1 species
CCUACGGGAGGCAGCAGUGAGGAAUAUUGGUCAAUGGGCUCGAGCCUGAACCAGCCAAGUCGCGUGAGGGAAGACGGCCCUAUGGAUUGUAAACCUCUUUUGUCGGGGAGCAAAAGACGCCACGCGUGGCGUUCCGAGAGUACCCGAAGAAAAAGCAUCGGCUAACUCCGUGCCAGCAGCCCCGGUAAUAAGGAGGAUGCGAACGUUAUCCGGAUUUAUUGGGUUUAAAGGGUGCGCAGGCGGAAGAUCAAGUCAGCGGUAAAAUUGAGGGGCUCAACCUCGUCGCGCCGUUGAAACUGGUGUUCUUGAGUGAGUGAGAAGUAUGCGGAAUGCGUGGUGUAGCGGUGAAAUGCAUAGAUAUCACGCAGAACUCCGAUUGCGAAGGCAGCAUACCGGCGCUCAACUGACGCUCAUGCACGAAAGUGUGGGUAUCGAACAGGAUUAGAUACCCUUGUAGUC